rnacentral:rRNA from 1 species
UACGUAGGGGGCUAGCGUUGUCCGGAAUCAUUGGGCGUAAAGAGCGUGUAGGCGGCCCGGUAAGUCCGCUGUGAAAGUCGGGGGCUCAACCCUCGAAUGCCGGUGGAUACUGUCGGGCUAGAGUGCGGAAGAGGCGAGUGGAAUUCCUGGUGUAGCGGUGAAAUGCGCAGAUAUCAGGAGGAACACCAAUUGCGAAGGCAGCUCGCUGGGACGGUACUGACACUGAGGCGCGAAAGCGUGGGGAGCGAACAGG